CAGCAGUAGUUCUCGAAUGUGGCAGGUUGCUCAAGGCCUCAGACGCAUAGAGGACACCUGCCAAAGUCAUCCAGGAUGAGGAAAGUGGAUCAGUGCAACUGCAAGCAAGGGGAGGGGGGGAGCACUACACCAGAGCACAAGGAAAUGCAUCAAGAAAACUCUGCAGUAGUCACCAGACUAUACAGUGCAAGGAAAACAGAAAAGGGUUACAAAAUGGGCAACGUUACUUAUUGUUAAACAUGACAUCCAAGGCUGUGGAAUGCAGAUCAAUGUGCAACUCGAUGUGCAAUCAACUUCUG